CUAGACCCACUGGUGAUGACUCAGAUGACAUUGGUCAGGGAAAACUCCACAGUGAGCAGAGCUUUGAAGAAUUCAUCUGGACAUCACAUGACAUCAACACAGAGAAACAUUAACCCAAGGCCUCUGAAUUAUUUUGAGCUACAUUGUGCACUUAGCGAGAACAUAACACAGCAGGAACAUAAUUAACCUUGCUCUCAGCUGAAGAAUUCACAGUCAAGACAAAUGAGCUCUCAUUGGCAUAAGGACUGAAACUAUGAAAUACUCAUGAAAUGUCAGCUGUACUGACACGUGAUGAUGGCCCAGUCAGAC